UACAGAGGGGGCAAGCGUUGUUCGGAAUUACUGGGCGUAAAGGGCGCGUAGGCGGCCUGCUAAGUCGAACGUGAAAUCCCCGGGCUCAACCCGGGAACUGCGUCCGAUACUGGCAGGCUUGAAUUCGGGAGAGGGAUGCGGAAUUCCAGGUGUAGCGGUGAAAUGCGUAGAUAUCUGGAGGAAUACCGGUGGCGAAGGCGGCAUCCUGGACCGACAUUGACGCUGAGGAGCGAAAGCCAGGGGAGCAAACGGG
rnacentral:rRNA from 1 species